GCUAAGUGACCACAAAUCAUUAAUUUACUAGUCUCCCACUUACCUAUUCUCCUCUCAACAAAUAGGUAAAGAAUGAUUAUAAUGGUUAAAUCAAAAUCUCUUACCUAAAGAUUUUUGUUUUCUACUUUUUGUAUACAGUGCUUUUAAAAAAUGAAGUUAGGUAUGUUUAUGUACAAAUAUGUAUUAAUAUGUACACACGAUGAUAUAAUAUGUAACAAACAUUGCAUUCUUCAAUAUCACACUGCAAUAGGUUGGGACCCCAACCCCCACCCAUAAACAUAAAAAUACAAUAAUCCCCCAACAUGUACAUAUACAUUUUUGUUUUCAUCCUGUAGUAGAGAAGAAUAUUGGAUUUAUUCAAGAGGACCUGGGCUGAAAUUCCAGCUUUUUUACUUGCUACCUCUGUGAUCAAGGCAAAUCACUUUACCUUCUCUUGCCCUCAGUUUACCCAUUUGUAAAACAAGAGAUUUGAACUAUAUAACUUCUAACAACCUUUACCUCUAAAGCAGUGGGGAUGGAAAAAAUAAAACAAAACAAGCUAUAUUCUUAUGUCCUUGCUUUGUAUUUAAAAUUUUGUUUUAAAUACAUCAAUUGGAAAUGCUCAAUAUGGGUUUUGUUCAAUACUAUAAUGAUUCUAAUAGAAGUAGAAAUCUUCACCCCACUAGAUUACAAAACUAAAUCUACUUAGUAUUAUAGCCAGCUUCUCUAUUUUCUCUCAUACACUUACAUAAAUAACUGGCAACUUAGCUCUGAAGUUUUGUUUGAGAUUCCUCUGUGAAUGAUACCAUUUUUUUUUUCUUGCCCAAUUACAUCUACUUGCACUCUGCUAGGAGACCUGGUAGUCAUCACCAGGACAAAAAUCUAAACUGCUGAUCACAAACUCCAAGGUUUAGUAGCAGUCAUGAGAAAAGAGCCUUAAGAGGUAGGAGGUAGGCGCUCAUCCAAAUCCUUAGUCUUCUUUUUAAACAAACAAACAAUAAAAGACUAGUCAAGACAAAGUAAUGCACUUGAGAUUGAGAUCCCAGGUUUAAGAAAAUAAAGUUUCUCAAUUCUUUGAGAUGCACUGUCACAUAGGAACCAAAUUAAAAACUACU
rnacentral:lncRNA from 1 species